UACGUAGGGGGCAAGCGUUGUUCGGAAUUAUUGGGCGUAAAGAGCUUGUAGGCGGUUUGUCGCGUCUGCUGUGAAAAUCCGGGGCUCAACCCCGGACUUGCAGUGGGUACGGGCAGACUAGAGUGUGGUAGGGGAGACUGGAAUUCCUGGUGUAGCGGUGGAAUGCGCAGAUAUCAGGAGGAACACCGAUGGCGAAGGCAGGUCUCUGGGCCACUACUGACGCUGAGAAGCGAAAGCAUGGGGAGCGAACAGG
rnacentral:rRNA from 1 species